rnacentral:tRNA from 1 species
GCGCCUGAGCUGGCCAAACGGCGCUCUUAAUUGCCUACGGAUCAAGAGGUUGCAGGUUCGAAUCCUGCCGAGCGCGCACCA